rnacentral:rRNA from 1 species
UCCCUCUUUUUCCCUCUUUCCUCUUAAUUACUGGGCUUAAAGCGCGCGUAUUUUUUUUGGUAAGUCGGAUGUGAAAUCCCCGGGCUCAACCUGGGAACUGCAUUCGAAACUGCCUGGCUAGAGUUUGAGAGAGGGAAGUGGAAUUCCACAUGUAGCGGUGAAAUGCGUAGAUAUGUGGAGGAACAUCAGUGGCGAAGGCGGCUUCCUGGCUUGGAACUGACACUGCGGCGCGAAAGCGUGGGUAGCAAACAGG